AAUGUUGUGCAUAUGGUUGUUUUGGGUAUCGAACUUUUGAUACCUAAUUGAUACUUUUAUGCCAGUAUCGAUUUGGUAUCAGGAUGUUCAUUUUUUCAAUACUAGACUCUCCUCUUAUGGCGAUCGGCG